UUUCCGUAGGUGAACCUGCGGAAGGAUCAUUAAAAAAUAUCGCUCGAUUGAGAGUGAUUUAAUAAUCAUCCUACCCUUUGUGAAUUUGUUGUUUGAAUAAUUUUUUUUGAUUGAUAAAAAAAAAUUAUCUUAUGGUUUUGUCUAUCCCUAAAAUUGGUUUGUUGUGAAAUGAAUCAAAUUUAGGGAAUAGGCUUUCUAAAUAAUGUUUUUUUUUCAAGUCUUAAAGACCUUUUUAAAAUUAAACUUUGUAUUCAUUUGUCUAAUUUUUUUUUUAAAUAAUUUAAAAACAACUUUUGACAAUGGAUCUCUUGGUUCUCGCAACGAUGAAGAACGCAGCAAAAUGCGAUAAGUAAUGUGAAUUGCAGAAUACGUGAAUCAUCAAAUCUUCGAACGCAUAUUGCACUUUUUUAGUUUACUAAAAAAGUAUGUCUGUUUGAGUAUCAGUAAAAUAUCUCAUAAAAACAUUUUUGUUUUUAUGGUUAUGAGUGUUUUACAACGAUAAACAAGUUGUUUCACUUUAAAUUCAUUUUAAUUUAAGACCAUUUAUGGUUUUAAUAAAAAAUUGGAUAAAAUUUUCCCGUAAAAGGAAUAACUUUUCAGUUUUUAAUUAUUACCAACAACGGUCCGAUUUAAAAGGAAAUUUAUUUAAAUAACUUGAUCUCAAAUCAGAUAAGAGUACCCGCUGAACUUAAGCAUAUCAAUAAGCGGAGGAAAAGAAACUAACAAGGAUUCCCUUAGUAACGGCGAGUGAAGCGGGAAGAGCUCAAAUUUGAAAUCUUCAAGGUUCUACCUUGACGAAUUGUAGUUUAAAGAAGUGUUUUCUGUUAGAUGAGUAGCAAAAGUUCCUUGGAAUGGGACAUCAUAGAGGGUGAGAAUCCCGUAUUUGGUUAUUCAUUCUAGCUUUGUGAUACGCUUUCAAGAGUCGGAUUGUUUGGGAAUGCAGUCCAAAAUGGGUGGUAAAUUUCAUCUAAAGCUAAAUAUUGGCGAGAGACCGAUAGCGAACAAGUACCGCGAGGGAAAGAUGAAAAGAACUUUGAAAAGAGAGUUAAACAGUACGUGAAAUUGUCAAAAGGGAAGCGUUUGACACCAGUGUUGUUUUUCCGAAAAUCAAUUACGAAUGGCUUGAUUUUGUGUUGUAUUGACCUUAUCAGCUUUCUGCACUUUUUUCGAGUCUUCUUAAUGCACUUUUCGGUUAACAAGUCAACAUCAAUUUCUUUUGUUGUAAAAGAGUAUUCGGAAGGUGGCUUUCUUUUCGGAGAAAGUGUUUAUAGCCCUAUACUUCUACAAUCGGAGAGAUUGAGGUCUGCAGCGUAGAUCCUUCGGGUUAGAUACACUUGUGCUAAGUUGUAGCUUUUCAUAGACAACUUGUUGACUAUGUUUAGUCAUGCGGCUUACUCGCUUGUGCUAUUUUACCUACGCUUAGGAUGUUG
rnacentral:misc_RNA from 1 species